ensembl:misc_RNA Metazoa_SRP Metazoan signal recognition particle RNA
GUCGGGCAUGGUGGCGUGUGCCUGUAGUCCCCGAUACUCAGAAGGCUGAGGUGGGAGGAUCACUUGAGCCCAGGAGUUCUGGGCUGUAGUGUGCUAUGCUGAUCGGAUGUCCACACUAAGUUUGGCAUCAAUAUGGUGACCUCCCGGGAGCGGGGGACCACCAGGUUGCCUAAGGAGGGGUGAACCGGCCCAGGUUGGAAACAGAGCAGGUCAAAACUCCCGUGCUGAUCAGUAGUGGGAUUGUGCCUGUGAAUAGCCACUGCACAUGUAGCCUGGGCAACAUAGCAAGAUCCUAUCUCUU